UACGUAGGUGGCAAGCGUUGUCCGGAUUUACUGGGUGUAAAGGGCGUGUAGGCGGGAUGACAAGUCAGAUGUGAAAUCCCAGGGCUUAACCCUGGAGCUGCAUCUGAAACUGUUUUUCUUGAGUGUCGGAGAGGAAAGUGGAAUUCCCAGUGUAGCAGUGAAAUGCGUAGAGAUUGGGAGGAACACCAGUGGCGAAGGCGGCUUUCUGGACGCUAACUGACGCUGAGGCUCGCAAGCGUGGGGAGCAAACAGG
rnacentral:rRNA from 1 species